AACCAAAACCUAAGCCUGUAAAUGCCUCAAGGUUAUGAAACUGAAAGCUAAGGACAGCCAAUCACCAAUAGCCAACUAGGCUUUCCGCUGAGGCAUCUGAAGCUGCAGCC